UACGGGGGGGGCAAGCGUUGUUCGGAAUUACUGGGCGUAAAGGGCUCGUAGGUGGCCAACUAAGUCAGACGUGAAAUCCCUCGGCUUAACCGGGGAACUGCGUCUGAUACUGGAUGGCUUGAGUUUGGGAGAGGGAUGCGGAAUUCCAGGUGUAGCGGUGAAAUGCGUAGAUAUCUGGAGGAACACCGGUGGCGAAGGCGGCAUCUUGGACCAACACUGACACUGAGGAGCGAAAGCCAGGGGAGCAAACGGG
rnacentral:rRNA from 1 species